rnacentral:rRNA from 1 species
CGUAGGGUGCGAGCGUUAAUCGGAAUUACUGGGCGUAAAGCGCGCGUAGGCGGGGGAUUAAGUGAGAGGUGAAAGGCUGGGGCUCAACCUCAUGCAGUGCCUCUCAUACUGGUCUUCUUGAGGGCGGUAGGGAGAAGUGGAAUGGCUGGUGUAGCGGUGAAAUGCGUAGAUAUCAGUCGGAACACCGGUGGCGAAGGCGGCUUCUUGGGCCGUUCCUGACGCUGAGGCGCGAAAGCUGGGGGAGCGAACGGGAUUAGAUACCCCGGUAGUCCCAGCCGUAAACGAUGGAUACUAGGUGUCGGGGGUAUCGACCCCUCCGGUGCCGCAGCUAACGCAUUAAGUAUCCCGCCUGGGGAGUACGGCCGCAAGGUUG